UGGGGAAUUUUGGACAAUGGGGGAAACCCUGAUCCAGCCAUCCCGCGUGUGCGAUGAAGGCCUUCGGGUUGUAAAGCACUUUUGGCAGGAAAGAAACGUCAUGGGUUAAUACCCCGUGAAACUGACGGUACCUGCAGAAUAAGCACCGGCUAACUACGUGCCAGCAGCCGCGGUAAUACGUAGGGUGCAAGCGUUAAUCGGAAUUACUGGGCGUAAAGCGUGCGCAGGCGGUUCGGAAAGCAAGGUGUGAAAUCCCUGAGCUCAACUUUGGAACUGCAUUUUUAACUGCCGGGCUAGAGUGUGUCAGAGGGAGGUGGAAUUCCGAGUGUAGAAGUGAAAUGCGUAGAUAUGGGGAGGAACACCGAUGGCGAAGGCAGCCUCCUGGGAUAACACUGACGCUCAUGCACGAAAGCGUGGGGAGCAAACAGG
rnacentral:rRNA from 1 species